rnacentral:rRNA from 1 species
AACGAACGCUGGCGGCAUGCCUAACACAUGCAAGUCGAACGAAACCUUCGGGUCUAGUGGCGCACGGGUUCGUAACGCGUGGGAACCUUCCCUUAGGGUCGGAAUAACUCCCCGAAAGGGGUGCUAAUACCGGAUAAUGUCUUCGGACCAACGAUUUAUCGCCUUUGGAUGGGCCCGCGUUGGAUUAGCUAGUUCGUAGGGUAAAAGCCUACCAAGGCGACGAUCCAUAGCUGGUCUGAGAGGAUGAUCAGCCACACUGGGACUGAGACACGGCCCAGACUCCUACGGGAGGGAGAAGGGGGGAAGAUUGGACGACGGGCGAAAGACUGAUCCAGCAGUGCCGCGUGAGUGAGUAAGGCGUUAGGGUUGUAAAGCUCAGUUACCGGGCAUGAUAAUGACAGUCCCGGGAGAAUAAGCACCGGCUAACACCGU